GGACCAGCCUCACCCACAGUGCCCCACCGAAGAGCUGCCCCACCUCCCCUAGCGAUGGCAGCAGGGAAGUCCCGAGCACAGGGCAGGGGCGCUCGGUCCUCUGUCAGAUCCCAGGAGACAGAACCACAGCGAGGCCCUGAAAGCACAGGCCAGAAUGGCUCUGGUGUGGCCGCCCGCAUCCCGCCACACCAGUGACCGCCAGGACACGUCGGCACUGCUGUGGGACCUGCCGCCCACCAGGCCCUAGGUGCGGCUUCGCUCCCCCACGGGACCAUGCUCAUCUCUUGCUGCAGCUACAUCAUGGAAUUUUAAGAAAGUGCGGUAAUUUGCCCAAGGACACGGAGCUCUGGAGCGUGUGCUCUCCUCUUGCCCAUCUCUGGCACGGACGGCCGCAGCUCCAGUCCUGGCCUGCCUCCCUGCUGGCCCCGAGUCCCUCUUUGGCAGACUCCAUCUUGCUCUCUUACUCCAAGCACCUUGGCCAGCCCCGAUGUGUGGCGAGUCCUCUGGAGGGUCCUCCGAUGCUCAAAUGAGGGCACCCCAUCUGCCCCGGGGGACGGAGCUCUGCGGCUGGGCUGGGGGGCUGGUCUGAUGUGCCCUGCAGCUGCAUGUGUUCAGGGGUGUCUCUGCCAGCUGGCCGAUGCCUGCAGGGAGGACUUCUGUGUCCUUCCUGUCACUCUAGGUAAGGAAGCUAAGGUGGGCAAGAAAACAGGCUCCCCCCAAAGUCUCUGCCCUGACUCCUGGACACUGAGUAUGUUAGGUCACACAGCACAGGACUCGAGGUUGCUAGAGAGCUGACUUUCCCCAGGGAGAGGCCCUGCGUUAUCCAGGGGGACAGGAAUGUGGAAGAGGGAGGCAGAAAAAUCAGUCAGACCAAGAGAAGCCAGUCUGGACGCAGAGCUGUUGGCUUUGUGGGGGCCACAAGCCAAGGAGUGUGGGCAGCCUCCAGAAGAGGGGAGAGGCUGGGGCUGGAGUCUCCCCCGAGGCCCUGGAGGGAGCUCAGCCCUGCCCACACCUUGACUGCAGCCCAGUGGGCUCCAGGCAGACUUCCUGCUCCCGGAACUGCAAGGUACGAGUCUGUGUUGCUUAGGUCACGCGUGGUAGUGUGCUAUAGCAGUGACAGGGCACUGGGACAUGCCCCACCCCACAGAGUGACUGGUGGCUGAGGGCCUCCCUUGGUUGGAGAGGAGCUAGGUGAGAGUGGGAGGUCUGUCCAGGAGCCGUCCACACACAGCUGCCCUCUUGUCCAGAGGACCCAGGUGUUGGGCUUGGAGCAGUUGUGGCCCCUGCCAUCACCAGUCUUGAGGAUGGAUGGACAAUGGGAAGGACUGCCGAGCUGGGCUCAGCUGGACUUGGUCCCCCACAUGGUCCAGCUGCUCCCCACACCCUUGUCUACCUCACGCACAAAAGGCCAGGAACCCAGUGAGAGGAGAGCCGAGGCGCCAUCCAGGCUCCUACUCCAAGGCCCAGCAUGUUCCUCUGGGUGGAGGUGCACUGGUUGGAGCAGUCACUCAUCAAGCGUCCCCGGCCCCUGCCGUGAGCCAGCCACAAUACUAGGUGCUGGGGGUAGGGACUCCCAUGGCACGGUUGAAACUUCUGCCUCACAGGACACACGUCCUCUAAUACCAGGGUCUCAAUCUCAGAUGUCCCUGGGCUAAGCAGGUGAUGGAAGGUGUAGGAAGAGUGUGUAAGAUCCAGACCCAGACACCCUCCUCAGGGCGUCCCCCCAACUGUCACCACACAGGGAUGCAGCCCAGGGGUUUCUGGUCACUUGACUUUUCAGAAGAAGCCAGACUUAUGGGAUUUUUAAAAAUUUGAAAUACUUUAAAAAUGUUUAGAUUUAAAUUUAAUUUAAAAAUAUUGGCAAGAAAUUCAAUGUUUAAAAAUAGUUGAGAUGAACAGCCCAGUUUGGGCCCUGAUGCCACCCGUCGCCUUGCUGGAGCCUGUGGACGAGUCGCAGCGUGGCUGGACUUGGGUCACAGGGCACAUGCAGCCUGGGGAAGAGGAGGGGUGGUUUGGGGAACCCUCGUCACUGGGCCCAGGGUGGCUGGACUUCAGUGACUCCUGUGUGACGAGUGUGAGCACCUCCGGACAGGAUAUGGCAGGGAGACGGGUCGUCCAAGAAAAGUGGCCACACUUGCCUAUUUGACUAUGUUGCUGUUCUGAGCUGAAAGACAAAGGUUCAAGGGGAAGGGCAUGGUCCCUCGUUCUUCAUUUAAGUCCUUCUCUUAGGAAACCCAAGAUGAUCAUCUCGUCGGAAUACGAGGUUACAGGUGAACCUUCGGUGGCCUGUGGGUCGAGCUCACCAUCCGGAGGAACCUGUGUCUCCGGGACGCAGGCAGCGGGCUUUUGGAGGGUCCAGGGUUGCCCUUCCCUGUGCUGGGGGCAGAGCCCACUGUAGCCCACCUUCCCUUGGGUUGGAGCCAGUAGCCGAGGGGUGGAGCUGAGGCAGCCUCUCCUCUACAGGAGAGGGCAGGGCAGGGGAGCUGGGGCGUCCGGCUCACACCAGCAGGACAGAGAAAGGUGCUGGGGUCUGUCAGCAGUGUCCCUGGAGACAGCAAAUGAGGUGAAGGGACGCAGGGAGAAGAGGGCCUUCCACACACCCAGGAGAAGGGCUUGGGACAGAAUACCCCUGUGCAGGCCUGGGGUGGGGGUGGGAGGGCAACGCGGCCACCACCUUGACCUUGGACCCGCGGCCUCCAGAACACGAGAACCGAUUUCGGUUCUUAGCUGUGCCGUUUGUGGCACUUUGCUGCAGCAGCCAUGGCAAGCAAACUGGUACAGCCACUGCCAUCUGUGUCUGCUGUUAUAAAUAGCUCCAAGAAAACAAAAGCCUGAGAGUUGGUGUCAGGACUGCUCCCGUCAGGGCUCGGCUCGCCUCCUGAAGCCCUGCCUCUGCCCCUCCAUUCCCGGUCGCUCUGGCAGAAUCCCACAGGCUGGGGGAUUUAUGAAGGUCUAUUUGGCUCCCAGCUCUGGGGGCAGGGAGGUCCAGCCCCGGUGCUCACAUCUGCACGGCUCUGGUGGGGACCUCGCACCAUACCACGCCUGUCCUGCAGCAGGUGUGGAGGAGGCAGAACGAGGCACCGCCACCUCAGCAGCCCACUCCUUCCCUGCGGGACCAUCCAUCCCUCGCCACAGCCCAGUCACCACCUAAGGCCCCGCCUCCCAACGACCACAACAGCAAUCAGACUUGAACUUGAGUUCUGGAGGGAACAGGCCAUAGUCAAAGCAGAGCCCCUCCUAAUUCCCUGUGGCCACAAGGGUCAGCAUCACUGAGGGCGGGCAGCUGGCAAGUCCUGCUGGUCAGCACAUGGCCAGCUCCUCCUCCCUCUGAACAAUGCAGGCAAGAGGAGAGAGUGAGAUCAGGGCUGCUCUGCCCUGGAGAAGGUAGUGGUGGGAUGAAGCAGGAAUGCUGCUGCCAGCCACGCCCACACACGCGUGCACACCUCCAUGCACACCCACACACACGUGCACACCUCCACACAGGAGCCAUGCAGCACCGGCCCAGUUCUGCCACAGUGCUUCUCCAGCGCUGUGGUCACACUCGCCGCUGUCCUCUGGUUUGAGUCUCAUUACACCUGACCCAGCUCUGGGGACUGCACUUUGGGAGGGGCCUGGGAUCUGGCUACCCAGGCUGCUGGGCACGUCUUGGAUCCAGCUGACCUCUUCCAGGGCACCUGAGGCUUCAUGCGUGUGGCUGGGUGGGAAGCAGGUGGAGCCUGGCGUCCCUUCUGGCUGCAGAGAAGGGCUGAGGGUGUGGGCACAGAGUGCAGCCCGGGACACUGAAGAUGGGGACGGGAAGGAGACUGCACAGCCCCAAACAGGGCCGCCCAGGGAGCUGCCGCCAGAGAGACACUGCCAUCGGGACAAGUCAGUCUGUCCUUUUUUAAGGUGGAAUAAAACAGUGAAGAGCCUCUUGGUGUCCACAAAGGGAAUUUGUAAUUGUUGAACUGCUGAGACCUGCUGCUGGGAAGUUUGCAAAGCAGGUUUUUGAAAUGGAAACGCCACGUUGUGCACACAAUAGAAGUAAAGGGGCCCAGGUGCUGCAGAGGUCAUUGUAACAAAAUAAGGGGAUCCGUGCUCACCAGGGAGUUUCAGCCCUUCAUACAGACUGGAGCUUGAAGAAGGUCCCUGGUCUUGUUGGAACUCUGCCUGCUAGCGGGUGGAGUCCUCCCCAGCCUGCUCCUCCAGGCCUGGCUGGGCUGCUGGAGGCUGGUUCUGGUACAACCACGGUACGUCAUGGGGUGAAAUGAGUGGAUGGUUUUUGUCAACAAACGUGAGUAACUGCUAUAAUGGCAUCCGUUAGAUGAGCUC
rnacentral:lncRNA from 1 species